CAAGGUUUCCGUAGGUGAACCUGCGGAAGGAUCAUUGUCGAAGCCUAGAAAGCAUGACCGUGGACAAGUUGUUAAUCGYGGAUGCACUUGGAUCCUUCGGGUACUCCAUUUGCCUUCCCCUCGGUCGGUGUUGAGCCUUGCGCCCAUCGCUGAUCGAAACGAAUGAACCCCGGCGCGGAUCGCGCCAAGGAAUCGAAACCGAAAGAGCCUGGCUCGGUGGCUCGUUCUCGAGCUGCCAGGGCCAUAGGUCUAUUCAAAAUACC
rnacentral:misc_RNA from 1 species